rnacentral:rRNA from 1 species
UACGUAGGGGGCAAGCGUUGUCCGGAAUCAUUGGGCGUAAAGCGCGUGUAGGCGGUUCGGUAAGUCUGCUGUGAAAGUCCAGGGCUCAACCCUGGGAUGCCGGUGGAUACUGUCGGACUAGAGUACGGAAGAGGCGAGUGGAAUUCCCGGUGUAGCGGUGAAAUGCGCAGAUAUCGGGAGGAACACCAAUUGCGAAGGCAGCUCGCUGGGACGUCACUGACGCUGAGACGCGAAAGCGUGGGGAGCAACAGGAUUAAGAUGACCCCUGUAGUCCCAGA